UGGGGUGUAGCCAAGCGGUAAGGCAGCGGUUUCUGGUACCGCGAUGCGGGGGUUCGAAUCCCUCCUCCCCAA
rnacentral:tRNA from 1 species